GUUCACUUUGGCAGCACAUAUACUAAAAUUGGAACCACACAGAGAUUAGCAUGGCUCCUGCACAAGGAUGACACAUAAAUUUGUGAAACAUUCCAUAUUUAA